CAAGCUUAUGGACCUGCUGUUCGACUCUGUGGUGGUGGAUCCUCUCCCAUAUCAGGAGUACUCGGACAAAAUUCCGGUUCCAGAACCGCUCUGUGCCCAGUUCCAAAGACCAGAUAAACGGGAUGCUGUGAGCAGGCACAGGUCCAGGUUUUAAAGUGCACGUAAGCCAGGCUGCACACCACUGUACGACAGAGGAGUUACCUGUCGUCAUUAUGGAUCUUUAUGCUCAUCCACUCGUGACUCAUGCUGUCCACCUCCCAGAUGUCUAUUGAUCUCUACAACCUUUCUGCUCUGUGGCUCCCAUACAACUUGAAAAUCUUGGCCAGCCUCCUGAUCUUGUAACAGAAAAACCUGUGCUCCCGGGAUCCAUCUCCACGUUUGUCAUCACAGUGAAAGCUACCUCCAGUCUAAGGAACCUAUGAAACAUCACUGUUGGCCCAACCUCUCCUCACAUGGCUCCAGAAUCUCUGCUUGUGGUUUAGUUUUGUCAAAAAUCAUGAAAGUUAUGAUCAGAUUGUAAUCUAACAUUGUCUUAGUAGUAGCUAUAAUAAAUGUUAUCUUUAAAGCGCAACUGUGUCUUUUUAAAUACAAUUAUAUUGAUAAUUUGAUGUGUAUAAAUACAUAUAUCACAUUUAUUAAAUUAUCAUUCAUUUUUACCUAAUUGAACCUGCUCUAGAAUAGACUUCAUUAAUCACACAGGGUGUAAACUCACUUGUUACAGCAGCAUUAACCCCGAAUUAGAACCUUACUGUUGUAAGAGCUCAUUUGAAAAGUGUGUGGCUAUAUGUGUGUAUAUAUAAAUAAUGUCAAAGUGUAA